rnacentral:rRNA from 1 species
ACUCAAAUGAAUAGACGGGGGCCCGCACAAGCGGUGGAGUAUGUGGUUUAAUUCGAAGCAACGCGCAGAACCUUACCUACCUUUAACAUCCCAUGACAACUACAGAGAUGUAGCGUUCCUUUCGGGGACAUGGUGAUAGGUGCUGCAUGGCUGUCGUCAGCUCGUGUCGUAAGAUGUUCGGUUAAGUCCGGUAACGAGCGCAACCCUUGUCCUUAGUUGCCAGCAUUAAGUUGGGUACUCUGAGGAGACUGCCGGUGUUAAACCGGAGGAAGGCGGGGAUGACGUCAAGUCCUCAUGGCCCUUACAGGUAGGGCUACACACGUACUACAAUGGCAGAAACAAACCGUUGCGAAACCGCGAGGUGGAGCCAAUCGGUAAAACACUGUCUCAGUCCGGAUUGAAGUCUGCAACUCGACUUCAUGAAGCUGGAAUCGCUAGUAAUCGCUGAUCAGCAAGCAGCGGUGAAUACGUUCCCGGGCCUUGUACACACCGCCCGU